AAAUUGUUAAAAAGAUUGUACUUAUUUAGACAUUUUCAGACUAUUCUCUUUCAUUCAGAGACACAGAAACCCCCUCCUCUCUCAACGUCUCUCUCGCUGCUUUCCCCGGCGGUGUCUCCACAGUCUCGCAAACCCUGCCCACCGACUUGCUGGUUUCGCAAAGCCCGCACCACAGCCCACAGCAGAACACACUUCUCUCUCGGUAUUUUCUUUCACUCAGCAUAGACUGGGUAAGGCUCAGUUUUCCUCAAAAGAACUAUCAUAUUUGUCACUCUAAUUGGCCAGCAUAGACAAGGCAGCGACAUAGCUUUAGUGUGAACAUGGGUGACCCUUCCAACGGAUCUGCCUUGUCCUUUUUCUCUGACAAAUCGGCAAAGAUCUUUGUAGCAGGCCACCGCGGACUUGUGGGCUCUGCCAUAGUCCACAAGCUUCACCACCUGGGCUUCACAAACCUUGUCCUUCGCACCCAUUUGGAACUUGACCUCACCCACCAAAAUGACGUCGAAUCUUUCUUUGCCACCGAGAAGCCUCAAUUUGUCAUCCUAGCAGCUGCCAAAGUUGGUGGCAUCCAUGCCAACAACACGUACCCGGCCGACUUCAUCAGCAUUAACCUCCAGAUCCAAACCAAUGUCAUUGAAUCCUCUUACCGCCAUGGCGUCUCCAAGCUCCUUUUCCUUGGCUCCUCUUGCAUUUACCCCAAAUUUGCACCCCAACCUAUCCCUGAAGAUGCGCUCUUAACUGGCCCAUUAGAGCCCACCAACGAGUGGUAUGCUGUGGCUAAGAUCGCUGGCAUCAAAAUGUGCCAAGCCUAUCGUAUUCAAUACAAUUGGGAUGCGAUUUCGGGUAUGCCCACCAAUCUGUAUGGCCCCAACGACAAUUUCCACCCUGAGAACUCCCAUGUCUUGCCUGCAUUAAUGAGGAGGUUUCACGAGGCGAAGGUGACAGGUUUGAAGGAGGUGGUGGUGUGGGGGACUGGGAGUCCCUUGAGGGAGUUCCUCCAUGUGGAUGAUCUGGCUGACGCAGUGGUGUUCAUGAUGGAGAGCUAUAGUGGCUUAGGGCACAUGAAUGUCGGGAGUGGGAAGGAGGUCAGUAUCAAGGAGUUGGCUGAGCUGGUGAAGGAUGUGGUGGGGUUCGAGGGGAAGCUUGUUUGGGACAAGUCCAAGCCUGACGGGACUCCUAGGAAGCUCAUGGAUAGCUCGAAGCUUGCUGCAUUGGGUUGGACCCCUAAGAUUUCGCUUAGGGAUGGCCUUAUUGAUACCUAUAAGUGGUACUUGCAGAAUGUGGAGCAGUGAUUUCAGAUGUGAUUCUUAAACAAUUUUUGGAUCUAGUGGCGCAUGGUGGGGUGUUGGCUGCAGUUGUUGUUGCCAUGCGAGACAUCUGGCCUCGAGCGAUGGGCUACCUUGGCGUGGUCGAUUUGGAACGCUCGUAACAAGUUUUACUUUGGGCACAGACAAGUUCACCCCAAAUCAAUUUUAAGUGGGGCAUAUGGACUGUUGGCGUACCAGAGGUUGAUGUUGUCACAAGUAUAGGCUGCUCUAAGUCCUUUAACUGCAUUUUGUGUAGGGUCUUGCUUAAGUUAUUUUCCUGCACUAUUGUGAAAUUUGUUUCCUUGGCUAACUUAGGCCUUGGGUUAUACUUUGUAUAAUAAUUAUUAUUAUUAUUCUUUAAAAAGUUAUUCUAUUACGACU